GACGAACGCUGGCGGCGUGCCUAAUACAUGCAAGUAGAACGCAGUUGCGAACGGGUGAGUAACGCGUAGGUAACUGCCUCAUAGCGGGGGAUAACUAUUGGAAACGAUAGCUAAUACCGCAUACUGUGAGAUGGACCUGCGUUGUAUUAGCUAGUUGGUGAGGUAAAGGCUCACCAAGGCGACGAUACAUAGCCGACCUGAGAGGGGGAUCGGCCACAAUGGGAAUGGAGCACGGCCCAGACUCCUACGGGAGGCAGCAGUAGGGAAUCUUCGGGAAUGGACGGAAGUCUGAACGAGCAAAGGCGCGUGAGUGAAGAAGGUUUUCGGAUCUGACAGCUCUUUUGUUAGGGUAGCGGUAACUAACCAGGAAGGGACGGCUAACUGCGUGCCAGCAGCCGCGGUAAUUC
rnacentral:rRNA from 1 species